AAACCUCUGUAGUCUGUACUCUUAUCCUAGAUUUCAGGUCAGUAUUGCCUAAUUGAAUAGUUCUUUUUGGUUGGAACAGGGAUUUAUUUUGACAAUCAUUGUAGUCUCUCCUGCUCCAGGGCUACGGAGCAGAAUACAACAAGGAGAGUUAUGCUACUAAACUAUACUCGUUAUUCUGCUGGCUGUACAUCCAUCUAUUGGGGGAUGCUACUUAGCUUCACACUUUUGUGCACCUGACGUGCUUGAACUAAUUGGAUGGAAUGAGCUGUCUCGCAAUACCAUUUUUAUCACAAAUGAUGAAGUUCAUUGCAUCAAAGUCUUCAAUUUGACUAAGUGUUGAUUUGGACUUGAAAGUUGAUGGCCAUGCUCACUUACGUCCAGUAAGUUGUAAUAUGCAUUGUGGCUGAUUUGUUGUUCACUUUUUUUUUCCUAUUAUAACUGAAACCCAGGUCGCUGCCAGACAUGUCGUGAAGAAAUUCCGCCAUUGGACAUGAGCUCAUUCUUCCUUCUUAGUAGCCACUGUUUGAGGUUUACAGUUAUGCCAGUGCAUGAUUUUAUAAUUUCAAUGUUGUUUUAAUGUUGGGAAAUGUAGAAUACUUUGCGGGGAUUUAUGUAGAUUGGAUAGUCCUUCAGAUCGGUGUUACAUAAUUAGUUUGUAUUUCAUAGGUGAUGGUCAUCCAUGAAGAUCUAAGUACUUUACUUAAG